rnacentral:rRNA from 1 species
CGGGACACGUGGUAUCCUGUCUGAAUAUGGGGGGACCAUCCUCCAAGGCUAAAUACUCCUGACUGACCGAUAGUGAACCAGUACCGUGAGGGAAAGGCGAAAAGAACCCCGGCGAGGGGAGUGAAAAAGAACCUGAAACCGUGUACGUACAAGCAGUGGGAGCACGCUUAGGCGUGUGACUGCGUACCUUUUGUAUAAUGGGUCAGCGACUUAUAUUCUGUAGCAAGGUUAACCGAAUAGGGGAGCCGAAGGGAAACCGAGUCUUAACUGGGCGUUAAGUUGCAGGGUAUAGACCCGAAACCCGGUGAUCUAGCCAUGGGCAGGUUGAAGGUUGGGUAACACUAACUGGAGGACCGAACCGACUAAUGUUGAAAAAUUAGCGGAUGACUUGUGGCUGGGGGUGAAAGGCCAAUCAAACCGGGAGAUAGCUGGUUCUCCCCGAAAGCUAUUUAGGUAGCGCCUCGUGAAUUCAUCUCCGGGGGUAGAGCACUGUUUCGGCAAGGGGGUCAUCCCGACUUACCAACCCGAUGCAAACUGCGAAUACCGGAGAAUGUUAUCACGGGAGACACACGGCGGGUGCUAACGUCCGUCGUGAAGAGGGAAACAACCCAGACCGCCAGCUAAGGUCCCAAAGUCAUGGUUAAGUGGGAAACGAUGUGGGAAGGCCCAGACAGCCAGGAUGUUGGCUUAGAAGCAGCCAUCAUUUAAAGAAAGCGUAAUAGCUCACUGGUCGAGUCGGCCUGCGCGGAAGAUGUAACGGGGCUAAACCAUGCACCGAAGCUGCGGCAGCGACGCUGAUGCGUUGUUGGGUAGGGGAGCGUUCUGUAAGCCUGUGAAGGUGUGCUGUGAGGCAUGCUGGAGGUAUCAGAAGUGCGAAUGCUGACAUAAGUAACGAUAAAGCGGGUGAAAAGCCCGCUCGCCGGAAGACCAAGGGUUCCUGUCCAACGUUAAUCGGGGCAGGGUGAGUCGACCCCUAAGGCGAGGCCGAAAGGCGUAGUCGAUGGGAAACAGGUUAAUAUUCCUGUACUUGGUGUUACUGCGAAGGGGGGACGGAGAAGGCUAUGUUGGCCGGGCGACGGUUGUCCCGGUUUAAGCGUGUAGGCUGGUUUUCCAGGCAAAUCCGGAAAAUCAAGGCUGAGGCGUGAUGACGAGGCACUACGGUGCUGAAGCAACAAAUGCCCUGCUUCCAGGAAAAGCCUCUAAGCAUCAGGUAACAUCAAAUCGUACCCCAAACCGACACAGGUGGUCAGGUAGAGAAUACCAAGGCGCUUGAGAGAACUCGGGUGAAGGAACUAGGCAAAAUGGUGCCGUAACUUCGGGAGAAGGCACGCUGAUAUGUAGGUGAAGCGACUUGCUCGUGGAGCUGAAAUCAGUCGAAGAUACCAGCUGGCUGCAACUGUUUAUUAAAAACACAGCACUGUGCAAACACGAAAGUGGACGUAUACGGUGUGACGCCUGCCCGGUGCCGGAAGGUUAAUUGAUGGGGUCAGCGCAAGCGAAGCUCUUGAUCGAAGCCCCGGUAAACGGCGGCCGUAACUAUAACGGUCCUAAGGUAGCGAAAUUCCUUGUCGGGUAAGUUCCGACCUGCACGAAUGGCGUAAUGAUGGCCAGGCUGUCUCCACCCGAGACUCAGUGAAAUUGAACUCGCUGUGAAGAUGCAGUGUACCCGCGGCAAGACGGAAAGACCCCGUGAACCUUUACUAUAGCUUGACACUGAACAUUGAGCCUUGAUGUGUAGGAUAGGUGGGAGGCUUUGAAGUGUGGACGCCAGUCUGCAUGGAGCCGGCCUUGAAAUACCACCCUUUAAUGUUUGAUGUUCUAACGUUGACCCGUGAUCCGGGUUGCGGACAGUGUCUGGUGGGUAGUUUGACUGGGGCGGUCUCCUCCUAAAGAGUAACGGAGGAGCACGAAGGUUGGCUAAUCCUGGUCGGACAUCAGGAGGUUAGUGCAAUGGCAUAAGCCAGCUUGACUGCGAGCGUGACGGCGCGAGCAGGUGCGAAAGCAGGUCAUAGUGAUCCGGUGGUUCUGAAUGGAAGGGCCAUCGCUCAACGGAUAAAAGGUACUCCGGGGAUAACAGGCUGAUACCGCCCAAGAGUUCAUAUCGACGGCGGUGUUUGGCACCUCGAUGUCGGCUCAUCACAUCCUGGGGCUGAAGUAGGUCCCAAGGGUAUGGCUGUUCGCCAUUUAAAGUGGUACGCGAGCUGGGUUUAGAACGUCGUGAGACAGUUCGGUCCCUAUCUGCCGUGGGCGCUGGAGAACUGAGGGGGGCUGCUCCUAGUACGAGAGGACCGGAGUGGACGCAUCACUGGUGUUCGGGUUGUCAUGCCAAUGGCACUGCCCGGUAGCUAAAUGCGGAAGAGAUAAGUGCUGAAAGCAUCUAAGCACGAAACUUGCCCCGAGAUGAGUUCUCCCUGACUCCUUGAGAGUCCUGAAGGAACGUUGAAGACGACGACGUUGAUAGGCCGGGUGUGUAAGCGCAGCGAUGCGUUGAGCUAACCGGUA